rnacentral:rRNA from 1 species
UACGUAGGGGGGCAAGCGUUUGUCCGGAAUCAUUGGGCGUAAAGCGCGUGUAGGCGGCAUGGUAAGUCCGCUCUGAAAGCCCGGGGCUCAACCCCGGGAGGCGGGUGGAUACUGUCAAGCUCGAGUCCGGAAGAGGCGAGUGGAAUUCCUGGUGUAGCGGUGAAAUGCGCAGAUAUCAGGAAGAACACCAAUGGCGAAGGCAGCUCUCUGGGACGGUACUGACGCUGAGACGCGAAAAGCGUGGGGAGCGAACAGG